AUGGUCAGGGAUGUUGGUCCCAGUGUUGGGUGGCCUACCCUCACUAAAACCAACUAUGUCGAGUGGGCCGGGAUCAUGAAGGUCAGGCUCCAGGUGCGGCGCAUGUGGGAGGCAGUCCAGGACAGCAACGUCGACCACCUAGAGGAUCGACGGGCGCUGGACGCCCUUAUCGCCGCAGUCCCGCCCGAGAUGCAGUUCUCGCUUUCCAACAAGCGGACUGCCAAGGAGGCUUGGGACGCCAUCGCCGCAGCACGCAUCGGCAGCGACCGUGCUCGCAAGUCCACCCUGCAGGCACUUCAUAAGGAGUGGGAGAACCUGGGCUUCAAGCCAGGUGAGGACGUUGAUGACUUUGCUCUCCGUCUCAACACUCUGCUGCAGAAGAUGGUGAAGUUUGGCGAUGCCACCUACACCGAGGAGAGAGCUGUCGAGAAGCUUUUUCGGUGCAUUCCCGAGGAGUACAAGCAGAUGGCUCGCUCGAUCGAGUCGUUGCUGGACCUCUCCACGAUGACGAUCGAGGAGGCGAUAGGCCGUCUCAAGGUCGUCGACACCGACGAGCCACAGCCUCCCUCGGGGCCCAUCACCACCGGUGGGAAGCUGCUCCUAACUCGGGAGCAGUGGGAUCCCAGCCUUGGUGACAGGAAGAAGGGGGAGCCUUCUUCCACGACGGGCGGCCGCGCUCCCCUCCACCUCGACAAGCCAAAAGCACACGCUCUUCUCAGCGAUGGCUCCGGGAAGGACAAGACUGAGGGGUGGUGCCUCGAUACUGGCGCCACCCACCACAUGACCGGUCGAAGGGAGUUCUUCGCCGAGCUCGACUCCGACGCGCGAGGCUCCGUCAAGUUUGGGGAUGCCUCCGCUGUGGAAAUUAAGGGCGUCGGCUCCGUCAUCUUCACCACCAAGACGGGAGAGCACCGGCUGCUCACCGAUGUCUACUACAUCCCCGCGCUAAGGAACUCCAUCAUCAGCUUGGGACAACUGGAUGAGAACGCCUCACGCGUGCUGAUUGAGCAUGGGGUCCUACGCAUCUGGGAUCGCCAGGGUCGCCUUCUCGCCAAGGUACCCAGAGGUGGAAAUUGA
rnacentral:rRNA from 1 species